rnacentral:ncRNA from 1 species
UGAGUGUUCGCCUUUGGCAUUGGCUUAGCUAAAACCUGGGUUUACAUAUAUAACUUUAUGGGUGUAGGGAGUAAAUAUAGAAAGGACUUAGUGGAAACUACUAAAUGUAUUUAGGUCUAUUUCUUUUUAAUAUGAAAUAAUAGAAUUUAUUGAACUUUUAGAAUAAUUUUCCCCUUCGUAGUGAUUAAUAUUGGAUAUUGAUUAUGGUAACAUGGAUUCAGUCUCAUGGGAUUGAGGAGAGGGUAAUAAAGUGCCAGCACCUGCGGUCAUACUUUAUUUUCUUGUUAAGCAGGUACGGAAAAAGAAAUAAGAUUAUUUAAGAUAAAAUUUUUUAUUAUUUCGGUUAAAUGAUGAUUAAUAUGCGAGUUGUUUAAAAUUUUUGUGGAUCUUGAUGCUUCUUUUCUUUGAGACUGGGUUGGAGACGGGGAUUUGGUACCCCCUUAUUUAAGUUGUAAAAUGAUUUCCGAGUAUUACGAACUUUGAUUGUUUAAAAUUCAAGAGGGUUGGCGGUGCAACUAUAUUCGUUUAGGGGAACUUGGCGAUUAAAUCGAUGAUCCUCGAGGACUUUACCUUUUCUUUUCUUUUUAUACCGCCGUUGACAAUUUUCUUUUAAAUAAUAUAGAUGAUUGUAAGAAACAUUUAAGCCUUACAUACGUAGUUAUCGUAUAAGGAAGGUUUGAGUUGUAAGAAUUCAGGUAAACGUGAAGGUUAUGAAAAGGGUUUAGCUGAGUUACAUUUGUGAAGCAAUACGGAUAGUAGAUGAAAAUUGCUUAUGGAAGGUGUACUUGUUAGUAACAUUUUUUAAUAAAGAAUUGUGAAUAGUAAUUUAGUGUGUGUACAAAUCGCCCGGCGCCCCCGAAUAGCUGCUGUGUGAAAUUGGGGUAAGUCGUAACAUAGUAAUACUACCAGAAGGUGGUUUUA